CAUAUAAACUAUUAGAAAUGUUACUUUGUUCAAAUCUCUCAAAUUCUUCCAGAUUUUCCUCACUACAUAAUGGGGUAUUUUGGUAGCCUAAGCCAAUCCUGAAUACAAACCAAAGCUUCCACAAUUUUUGGAGUUGAUGAACUCCUAAAAUGAUCUAAA